GACAGAGGGUGCAAACGUUGUUCGGAAUUACUGGGCGUAAAGCGCGUGUAGGCGGUCUCGCAAGUCGGAUGUGAAAGCCCAGGGCUCAACCCUGGAAGUGCACUCGAUACUGCGAGGCUAGAGUCCCGGAGAGGAUGGUGGAACUCUCGGUGUAGAGGUGAAAUUCGUAGAUAUCGAGAAGAACACCGGUGGCGAAGGCGGCCAUCUGGACGAUAACUGACGCUGGGACGCGAAAGCGUGGGGAGCAAACAGG
rnacentral:rRNA from 1 species